rnacentral:lncRNA from 10 species
AGCAGUCAUUCAACAAUCCCGCCUGCAGCUGUGGGCAUGGAUAGUCCGCGGCUAAGAGGAGGAGUCCCCUGAGGUCCCUGCCCUGAGAAAUUCAUGCUCUUUGGGGCUUUUGGGCUUUCAUAGCUACUAUUCAGUCACUGACGCCCUCAUCAUUUAUCACCCAGCUAACUUAGGGUGUCACCUUCUCCAGAAAACCUUCCCCAAGUUGGACAAAGUCCCUUCUUUUCCUCUAUUUUAAAGACCGCUAUCUUACUUGGGGAAUUAUCUGCUUAGAAGCCUGUGUCUCCCAUCAGAUGACAGUCUCCUCAAAGGAACUAAGGCCUUCGUCCAGCUGAGGCCCAGCCGCUGGAGGAUGUCCACAUCUGAGAGGGAGGGAAAAGGGGAGAGGACGCAGUCAGGGCCUGCUCCAGCCCACCCCACCCCCUACCCCCUAAGGGGCACAGGCAAUGUGGACCGUCCACCCACAGCUACCUGGUCCUUUGUUCAGACUCUGGAGCCAAACUUCCUGAGUUCAAAUCCUACCUCUAACACUUACUAAUCUUGUGACUUUAGUGCCUCAGUUUUCCCAUCUAUUAAAUGGGAUAGUAACAGUCCCAACCUCAGAAGGAUGUAACAAUUACAUGAUGAAUACAUUUAUUUUUAAGUGCCUGGUACAAAAGAAGCCCUUUCAAAUAAUAACUAAUACUAAAAAUAAUGAUAAUAACCAAAUGCUGUUGCUGAGAGUGUUAGAGGCUGCCCAACAAUGACACGUUAUACUCCUUUUUCUCCACCUGGAAAGCCAUCUCCUCCAGGAAGCAGCCCCAUAAGUGAGGGACCAGGAUGACAAGAAUAGACCUGUCACCAGAGCUUGGUAAAGAUGUCCUAGGGGUCUGACAGGUUUCACCAUCUCCUCAGGGACCCACCCAUUCCCCUUCCCACUCCCGAGGUGUCUCUAGCAGGCUACGGGGCUGCCAUCUGCUAUCAGAAGGGUGAUGGCAUUUCCGCUGACUCCUCCUUCUCCCCACAGGACUCUGGGGAGAGGAGAGGAAGCAAUCAAAGCAUCCCUGCAACCUCUGUCCCCUGGCAAAGCGUAUGGAUAUCUGACUGUGGUCUGGCCAGGUCACAUCCGCCCAAUAAUUAUGUCAGCAGGGCUUGCCAGAGCAAAAGAAAAGGAGGGCUUCCAGAUAAAUGAAUGGAUGGAUGGAUAGAAAAAUGGAUGGAUGGAUGAAUAGAUAAAUGGAUGGAUAAAUGGGCAGGUGAACAGGUAGAUGGAUGGACGGAUGGAUGGAUAAAUGGAUGAAGAGGCGGCAUCAGCUUCCACCCCUCACACCCGGAUCCGGCUGGGGAAGCUGGGAGUGGAAACCAGUCCCAGUCUCGUUCCUGCGAUCCCAUUUAUUUCUGUUCCAUCUCCUUCCAGCCCCCUCUCUUCCUGGCCCUUGUCUGGCACCUGCCCUCACUCCUUGAGUCCUUCAUUGGAUUAUGUCACAUACCAAACUUCCUAGGAAGUUUCCCAAACUGAUAAAGAAAGGCGAGGUGGGGAAGAGAA